rnacentral:rRNA from 1 species
CCUACGGGAGGCAGCAGUGGGGAAUAUUGCACAAUGGGCGCAAGCCUGAUGCAGCCAUGCCGCGUGUGUGAAGAAGGCCUUCGGGUUGUAAAGCACUUUCAGCGGGGAGGAAGGCGUUAAGGUUAAUAACCUUGUCGAUUGACGUUACCCGCAGAAGAAGCACCGGCUAACUCCGUGCCAGCAGCCGCGGUAAUACGGAGGGUGCAAGCGUUGAUCGGAAUUACUGGGCGUAAAGCGCACGCAGGCGGUCUGUCAAGUCGGAUGUGAAAUCCCCGGGCUCAACCUGGGAACUGCAUUCGAAACUGGCAGGCUAGAGUCUUGUAGAGGGGGGUAGAAUUCCAGGUGUAGCGGUGAAAUGCGUAGAGAUCUGGAGGAAUACCGGUGGCGAAGGCGGCCCCCUGGACAAAGACUGACGCUCAGGUGCGAAAGCGUGGGGAGCAAACAGGAUUAGAUACCCCAGUAGUC